ACUGCGAAUACCGGAGAAUGUUAUCACGGGAGACACACGGCGGGUGCUAACGUCCGUCGUGAAGAGGGAAACAACCCAGACCGCCAGCUAAGGUCCCAAAGUCAUGGUUAAGUGGGAAACGAUGUGGGAAGGCCCAGACAGCCAGGAUGUUGGCUUAGAAGCAGCCAUCAUUUAAAGAAAGCGUAAUAGCUCACUGGUCGAGUCGGCCUGCGCGGAAGAUGUAACGGGGCUAAACCAUGCACCGAAGCUGCGGCAGCGACGCUGAUGCGUUGUUGGGUAGGGGAGCGUUCUGUAAGCCUGCGAAGGUGUGCUGUGAGGCAUGCUGGAGGUAUCAGAAGUGCGAAUGCUGACAUAAGUAACGAUAAAGCGGGUGAAAAGCCCGCUCGCCGGAAGACCAAGGGUUCCUGUCCAACGUUAAUCGGGGCAGGGUGAGUCGACCCCUAAGGCGAGGCCGAAAGGCGUAGUCGAUGGGAAACAGGUUAAUAUUCCUGUACUUGGUGUUACUGCGAAGGGGGGACGGAGAAGGCUAUGUUGGCCGGGCGACGGUUGUCCCGGUUUAAGCGUGUAGGCUGGUUUUCCAGGCAAAUCCGGAAAAUCAAGGCUGAGGCGUGAUGACGAGGCACUACGGUGCUGAAGCAACAAAUGCCCUGCUUCCAGGAAAAGCCUCUAAGCAUCAGGUAACAUCAAAUCGUACCCCAAACCGACACAGGUGGUCAGGUAGAGAAUACCAAGGCGCUUGAGAGAACUCGGGUGAAGGAACUAGGCAAAAUGGUGCCGUAACUUCGGGAGAAGGCACGCUGAUAUGUAGGUGAAGUCCCUCGCGGAUGGAGCUGAAAUCAGUCGAAGAUACCAGCUGGCUGCAACUGUUUAUUAAAAACACAGCACUGUGCAAACACGAAAGUGGACGUAUACGGUGUGACGCCUGCCCGGUGCCGGAAGGUUAAUUGAUGGGGUUAGCGCAAGCGAAGCUCUUGAUCGAAGCCCCGGUAAACGGCGGCCGUAACUAUAACGGUCCUAAGGUAGCGAAAUUCCUUGUCGGGUAAGUUCCGACCUGCACGAAUGGCGUAAUGAUGGCCAGGCUGUCUCCACCCGAGACUCAGUGAAAUUGAACUCGCUGUGAAGAUGCAGUGUACCCGCGGCAAGACGGAAAGACCCCGUGAACCUUUACUAUAGCUUGACACUGAACAUUGAGCCUUGAUGUGUAGGAUAGGUGGGAGGCUUUGAAGUGUGGACGCCAGUCUGCAUGGAGCCGACCUUGAAAUACCACCCUUUAAUGUUUGAUGUUCUAACGUGGACCCGUAAUCCGGGUUGCGGACAGUGUCUGGUGGGUAGUUUGACUGGGGCGGUCUCCUCCUAAAGAGUAACGGAGGAGCACGAAGGUUGGCUAAUCCUGGUCGGACAUCAGGAGGUUAGUGCAAUGGCAUAAGCCAGCUUGACUGCGAGCGUGACGGCGCGAGCAGGUGCGAAAGCAGGUCAUAGUGAUCCGGUGGUUCUGAAUGGAAGGGCCAUCGCUCAACGGAUAAAAGGUACUCCGGGGAUAACAGGCUGAUACCGCCCAAGAGUUCAUAUCGACGGCGGUGUUUGGCACCUCGAUGUCGGCUCAUCACAUCCUGGGGCUGAAGUAGGUCCCAAGGGUAUGGCUGUUCGCCAUUUAAAGUGGUACGCGAGCUGGGUUUAGAACGUCGUGAGACAGUUCGGUCCCUAUCUGCCGUGGGCGCUGGAGAAUUGAGGGGGGCUGCU
rnacentral:rRNA from 1 species